CUAAAUCGGCUUUCCAACUCUUCUCUCUCUCUGGACGUGACACCAAAGGCGAUUUCAAAGAUACUCUCGAGGAAAUUAACGGCGAGACCAGUGACCGGUGAUUUCGAGUCUCUCUUUCGCGGAAUCCCUUCGUCUUUUUCUCUUCGCCUCUCUCUUUCUCUUACAUAGCUAGCCCAAAAGGAGUACCAUAUUGUAAUUGGCCUCAAGAUUUCGCAGAAAAGUAGCAGGGAGGUAGUUAAGUGGAAAUAUGAUGGUGGUUUUAGAGUAAGCUAUCAAAGAGAGGUGGGAAUAUCACCUUGAAGUGUAUGAAGAAUGAGCAUCUACAAUAUUUUCACAACUGGACUCGCCCCUGAUAGGUUGAGGUUGAUAUAUUUGUGCGUGAUAAUGGGUGUCAUCAUGGAGAGAGAUGAGAAGGUGAACGUCCCUCAUAUGUACAUCAAGUUGGCGAUGGAUCUUGAUAGGGUUCGGAAGUUGAAUUGGGGUCUUCACUCGUAUGACUUAUGAUAUGCUAUUACCCUUAGAGAAACUUUAUCAAGUAAGAGAUCGAUUGCAGUACUUAAGGAUCAAAUCUACAAAGACUCUAUGUUUCACACAAUACACAUAUGGCUUUUUUUUUGUGCACAUAUGGCUAUCAGAUUAAGCUAGACAGUAAAUCAUAUAAACCAGUAAAUAACAAGAAAGUAAAUGUGACUUGUAAACGAUGUAAGAAGGGUGCUACACUAACGGUUUCAUUAAGGUUAUCAAUAAUAUAGUCUGUAGUUAGCUA